UUUUUUUAUUCAAGACUUUUUUUUCUCUCAUUCUUAGCUCUCUUUUCCUCCCUUUCUCUUGACCGAAUUCAGCCCAAACAACCCCACAAAUCUUCCACACAGCCCAAAGUCCAAACAUUCAAGUGGUUUUGAGGUGUUUGUUCCAAGUUUAAGCUUCAAGCUUUAAGAUUCAAGCUUUUCUUCUCUAGUUUCUCAUACUGCCUUGUUUGCUUGUUGAACGCUUAUCAAGCGUCACAGAGCGCGUAUGGAUACGCAUAGGUCAUGUCGCACGUCCACGGACUUUGAUUUUAGCUACUUUCUUUGCUACAUUUGCUCGUGCAUCAGGUGA
rnacentral:lncRNA from 1 species